rnacentral:rRNA from 1 species
AUUGAACGCUGGCGGCAGGCCUAACACAUGCAAGUCGAGCGGAUGAAGGGAGCUUGCUCCUGGAUUCAGCGGCGGACGGGUGAGUAAUGCCUAGGAAUCUGCCUGGUAGUGGGGGAUAACGUCCGGAAACGGGCGCUAAUACCGCAUACGUCCUGAGGGAGAAAGUGGGGGAUCUUCGGACCUCACGCUAUCAGAUGAGCCUAGGUCGGAUUAGCUAGUUGGUGGGGUAAAGGCCUACCAAGGCGACGAUCCGUAACUGGUCUGAGAGGAUGAUCAGUCACACUGGAACUGAGACACGGUCCAGACUCCUACGGGAGGCAGCAGUGGGGAAUAUUGGAAAAUGGGCGAAAGCCUGAUCCAGCCAUGCAGCGUGUGUGAAGAAGGUCUGCGGAUUGUAAAGCACUUUAAGUUGGGAGGAAGGGCAGUAAGUUAAUACCUUGCUGUUUGGACGUGACCAACAGAAUAAGCACCGGCGAACUUCGU